GACAGAGGUGCCGAGCGUUAGGCGGAAUCACUGGGCUUAAAGCGUGUGUAGGCGGACGGGUAAGUACCUUGUGAAAUCCCACGGCUCAACCGUGGAACUGCUGGGUAUACUGCCUGUCUUGAGUCAUCCAGGGGCGAGCGGAACAAAUGGUGGAGCGGUGAAAUGCGUAGAUAUCGGGAAGAACACCCGUGGCGAAGGCGGCACUCUGGGACGGUACUGACGCUGAGACGCGAAAGCGUGGGGAGCGAACAGG
rnacentral:rRNA from 1 species